rnacentral:rRNA from 1 species
CCGCACGGGUGAGUAACGCGUAUGCAACUUGCCUAUCAGAGGGGGAUAACCCGGCGAAAGUCGGACUAAUACCGCAUGAAGCAGGGAUCCCGCAUGGGAAUAUUUGCUAAAGAUUCAUCGCUAAUAGAUAGGCAUGCGUUCCAUUAGGCAGUUGGCGGGGUAACGGCCCACCAAACCGACGAUGGAUAGGGGUUCUGAGAGGAAGGUCCCCCACAUUGGUACUGAGACACGGACCAA